rnacentral:sRNA from 1 species
AGACCGCCGUGACAGAGAAACUAGGCGGUCCGCUCCUGGGACGCGGUCUCGGGGGCGGGUUCGCCUCUGAGGCCCGGUGACCCUUCGCCCGCAACCAGGGCUAGCGCGUGUGUGCGCCCACGGAAGCACCCGACCGACUGGAGAAAGAAAAAGGGGUCAAGGGGGCCUCCUUCCAGCUCUACGCGCCUCUCAUUCAGAGAGAAUCUGUUAAAUCAAAAUAUCAAGACCUACUGGCAGUUGAACAUCAAGGGGUGAAACUGCUUGAAAACAGACAUCAACAGCAAAGUACCUUUAAACCAGAAGAAAUUCUUUACAAGACUUUGGGUUUCAGUGUUGCCCAAGCAACUAGCUCAUUGAUUUCUGCUGGAAAAGGGGUCUUCGUUACUAAAGGACUGGUACCAAAAGGCGCAGUCGUAUCUAUGUAUCCUGGUACAGUAUAUCAGAAGUAUGAGCCGAUCUUUUUCCAGUCCAUUGGAAAUCCAUUUAUUUUUAGAUGCCUGGAUGGGGUACUCAUUGAUGGGAAUGACAAAGGGAUAUCAAAAGUUGUGUACAGAUCUUGCAACGGGAGGGAUCGACUCGGCCCUUUAAAAAUGAGUGACAGUACAUGGUUAACAUCAGAAAUUCAUAACCCUCUGGCUGUGGGACAGUAUGUCAACAAUUGUUCCAAUGACAGAGCAGCUAACGUCUGUUAUCAGGAAUUUGAUGUGCCUGCAGUUUUCCCUAUAGAACUGAAGCAGUACCUUCCAAACAUUGCCUACAGCUAUGACAAACAUAGCCCACUUCGAUGUGUUGUUCUUGUCGCACUUAGGGACAUCAAUCAAGGAGAAGAGCUUUUUUCAAACUACUACACAAUUGUCAGCUAACUGUGAAUCAGAAAUUAUUAGGUUUUCUACUCAGCUAUUA